CAGUCUCCUCGCCCCGCCCCCCGCCUCUGGGCCGCGGGUUGGUGGGUUUGGGUCACGUGGGCGCGCAUCGCCGCUUCCUCGCCGCAGGGGGCCAGCCCGCGGGCAGGUUUCCGGUUCGGUGGGUCGGAGAUGACGGAGCCGGGCGCCUCUCCGGAGGACCCCUGGGUCAAGGCAAGCCCCGUGGGCGCGCACGCCGGCGAGGGGAGGGCGGGUCGGGCUCGUGCACGUAGGGGGUCCGGAAGACGAGGGGACUCCCUGAAGUCCCCAGAGCUACUCCCGCUCUCCGGGCCCCGGGGCUGCAGAGAAGACAGCUCUCACCCCGCGUGUGCCAAGGUCGAGUAUGCGUACAGCGACAACAGCCUGGACCCCGGGCUUUUUGUAGAAAGCACCCGCAAGGGGAGUGUAGUGUCCAGAGCUAAUAGCAUCGGUUCCACCAGUGCCUCUUCUGUCCCCAACACAGAUGACGAGGACAGCGAUUACCACCAGGAAUCCUACAAGGAGUCUUACAAGGACCGGCGGCGGCGAGCACACACUCAGGCUGAGCAGAAGAGGAGGGAUGCCAUCAAGAGAGGCUAUGAUGACCUGCAGACCAUCGUUCCCACCUGUCAGCAGCAGGACUUCUCCAUUGGCUCCCAAAAGCUCAGCAAGGCCAUCGUUCUGCAGAAGACCAUUGACUACAUCCAGUUUUUGCACAAGGAGAAGAAAAAGCAGGAGGAGGAGGUAUCCACGCUACGCAAGGACGUCAUGGCCCUAAAGAUCAUGAAAGUGAACUAUGAGCAGAUUGUGAAGGCACACCAGGACAACCCCCACGAGGGGGAGGACCAGGUCUCUGACCAGGUGAAGUUCAACGUGUUUCAAGGCAUCAUGGACUCCCUCUUCCAGUCCUUCAAUGCCUCUAUCUCCGUGGCAAGCUUCCAGGAGCUGUCGGCCUGUGUCUUCAGCUGGAUUGAGGAGCACUGUAAGCCUCAGCCCAGUUUUUCCUGUUAAGGUUUCAUUUGGCAAGAAGGAUUGGAGCACUCACUAAUGCAAGGCCUAGCUCUUGGCCUUUGUUUCACCCACAUAGUGGCAAGUAAUGGCAGCCUCAGGCAUUCCUCCUCGGCCGCCCCGCAAACCCUACGGGAGAUUGUGAUUGGUGUUCUACAUCAAUUGAAGAACCAGCUUUACUGACCAGCUCUUGGAACCUGCAGAACAGCCAACAAGAGGCCUUGAGUCUCCUACUUGGCCGUGGAGCCACUGGGCUUAUGAGAUUGGACUGUGACACUGCACACCAGUCAGCUGCUUUCUCCUCAGUGUUUGGCUCCCCAGCUCCCCCCUCCCCCUCAGCCCCAUCUUCAGUGGGGCUGGGGAAGGGGGAAGGUUAUUAUAUGAAAGCUUUGAUUAAUUUAUUAUACUGACCAUAGAUCUCAAACCUACCUAGUCUUUCCCCCUCCCCAUGGAAGUCCUCGGGAUGGGGUCUGCUCUGGGAACCCUAGAAAGCUCCUGGCCUCUCCCUUUGUCUAGGCCUCAGGUUUCUGCUCCCGUUUGGUAACUACCGUUUGCCUGUUCUGGUCUCUCUGGCAACCUUUAGCCUGAGUCUGGCCACUUUGGCAGUAGUUGGAUGGGAAGGAAGGAGGAAGGGAAAACGCUCUCACAGCCAUGAAGGGUGAAAGGUGGCCUCAUGCCUAGGCUAGGGCUGCCUGGUCAGCCCAAGGUGAGGCCAGAGCUUUCUCUGGCCAGCUCAGGGCAGGGCUGCCAGGUUCCUGCCCUUGCCCCCUACUCUGGGUGGUGGAGGGAAGCAACCUCCUCACCCACUCCUGCCCUCUGUGUCCCCACAGGCAGUAGCACUGCACAGCAAAGUCAAAUGUGACACAACACUACAUAUUAAAUUUUUUAAUUUUUCUAAACACCAACAAUGCAAUUUUGCUAAAGUUACAAUUUUGGAAAACUGGUCUCAAGACCACUCCCAGGCUUUCUGUCAAGUGUAUCUGGGUCUCCACCAUCUCAGUGCUGCCUGCAUUUCUCCCAGGACUUAGGGUGGGGUGAAGGUGGGUAGAGAAGAUUUUCUAAAGGUCUCCUGGAGUGUAGAGCCCAGGAGAGUCCUGGGUGAGGCCCUGGGCUCCUUGAAUGCUGUGCAUAGUAGCCUCUCCCUGCCCUUGUCCCCCAAGCUCUCUUUUGCCUUCCUCAGGUUUGAUAUCUGGGAGGUUUGAUUAUCCAGAGGAAAUUAAAUAUUUUUAUAUCAAAUUAUAUUACAAUAAAUAUUGCCAAAUGCU